AAAUAAGAAACAAAGUAUUGUAAUUAGUUUCGACCUAAUAUUUGAUUAUAUUAAUCCUUAUUUU
rnacentral:tRNA from 1 species